rnacentral:rRNA from 1 species
GCCCCCUGAAUUGUAGUCUAGGAAGGCGCCAUCGGCCAAGCCCGUCGCUCAAAUCCCUUGGAACAGGGUAUCGGAGAAGGUGAGAAUCCUGUGCCGUGGCGGAGCUUGGCCGCACGAUGCGCUCUUGUCGAGUCGGGCUGCUUGGGAUUGCAGCUUGAAGUGGGUGGUAAAUUCCAUCUAAAGCUAAAUAUUGGCGGGAGACCGAUAGCGAACAAGUACCGUGAGGGAAAGAUGCAAAGAACUUUGAAAAGAGAGUUAAAGAGUGCUUGAAAUUGGCAGGAGGAAACCCGGUUGCGCGUGGCAUUUGGCGUGGUCGACUCAGCCGCGCGCGGAGAUCUGUAGGGGACCUAACGGCCUCGUGGUCAGCGCGCGCGGUGCACUUCGGCCGCGUCGGUCAGCCGCGUUUCUGUGCGGCCCAGACGGCCGCGGGCAGGGCUUCGGCGCAGCCUGCGGUUUGGGGGUCGCGCGGGAUCCCGGCUGAUGCGCACGGGCGCAACCGACCCGUCUAGAAACACGGACCAAGGAGUCUGACGCGUGUGCGAGUACUAGAGUGGCAAGCUCGAGUGCGCAAUGAAAGUGAAGGGCGUGCCCCGUCAACCGAUCUUGAUCUUCUGUGAAGGGUUUGAGUGGAGCACAUCUGUCGGGACCUGAAAGAUGGUGAACUAUGCCUGAGGAGGGUGAAGCCAGAGGAAACUCUGGUGGAGGCUCGUAGCGAUACUGACGUGCAAAUCGUUCGUCGAACUUGGGUAUAGGGGCGAAAGACUAAUCGAACCAUCUAGUAGCUGGUUCCCUCCGAAGUUUCCCUCAGGAUAGCUUGAACGCCGACGGUUUUG